rnacentral:lncRNA from 1 species
CAGGAUGUUCAAAGCCCUGAGUUACAUCUGACGGUGUUACUUACUGGAGCCCUUGUACUGCGGUCCAUCUGGGAGGCGCUUCUGGCUAAGGACAACAAGGCAACCACAUUGUCCUCGUCAGCACCCACGUCACCAACGCUGUCACCACACCGCAGUGAUUGUCACGGCUCUUGUCCUUGCCGCCACGACCAUCACCAUCACCAUCCACACCGCUGCCACUGGUAUCCUCACCACGAUCACCACCACCAUCACAAUCACCACCAUCACCACCGCCACCAAGCAGCUCACAUUUACGGAGAAAUUACCACCACACAGGUAUUGGCACUGUCUGAGAAUUUUCAGUGUGACCACCUCCUUCAAUCUUCCCUACAAUCCUAAAGAGAGUUACUAUCAUCUAUUUUGACUUUUACAGAUGAGGAGACUGAGGUGCUAAGUAAGGACUCAGACAAAGCUGGUCAAAGUCACCCGGCUAAUAGAUAGUAGUGCCAGGCUCACUUCGGGGCAGCACUGCCAGGCACCAGGUCCACGAUCUUGACUGCUCUUCCUCCCUCUCACUGUCAUUCGGGAAUGGAACAGACA